UAGCUCAGUCGGUAGAGCAGCGGACUUUUAAUCCGUUGGUCGAAGGUUCGAAUCCUUC
rnacentral:tRNA from 2 species